CAGAUCUCCAGUCUUCUUGGUCAUUUAGAGGAAGUAAAAGUCGUAACAAGGUUUCCGUAGGUGAACCUGCGGAAGGAUCAUUACCGAAUCGUCAACAAGAGUUGUUGCUGGUCCUCGAAACGGGGGCAUGUGCACGCUCUGUUAACACAUCCAUUCACACCCUGUGCACCCUCUGUGGUUCUGUGGUCGGGGGACCUGUCCUCCUGCCGUGGUUCUGCAUCUUUACACACACACUGUAACAAAGUCUCAUGGAAUGCAUGCCGCGUUUAACGCAAUACAAUACAACUUUCAGCAACGGAUCUCUUGGCUCUCGCAUCGAUGAAGAACGCAGCGAAAUGCGAUAAGUAAUGUGAAUUGCAGAAUUCAGUGAAUCAUCGAAUCUUUGAACGCACCUUGCGCCCUUUGGCCAUUCCGAAGGGCAUGCCUGUUUGAGUAUCAUGAACACCUCAACUCUUCAUGGUUUUCUGUGAUGAGCUUGGACUUUGGGGGUUUUGCUGGCCUAUGGUCGGCUCCUCUAAAAUGAAUCAGCUUGCCAGUGUUUGGUGGGCAUCACGGGUGUGAUAACUAUCUACGCUUGUGGUUUUCCACCAGGUAACCUUCAGCAGUGGAGGUUCGCUGGAGCUCACAGAUGUCUCUCCUCGGUGAGGAAGACCCUUUGAAUGUUUGAUCUCAAAUCAGGUAGGACUACCCGCUGAACUUAAGCAUAUCAAUAAGCGGAGGAAAAGAAACCAAC
rnacentral:rRNA from 1 species